ensembl:lncRNA
AUGACCUUAUACAAAUGUUUGUUUGUGUGGUUGUUGGCGAAGCAACUCAACAUUUUUCUUCUUUUAUGUUGGCUUUUGCAGAACAGCAUGUCUUCUGUAUGCAGAAUCUUAAGGGUCCCACUUUUUCCAUUCUGUCUUGAACACACACACACCAAAGACCAUGUGAAUCACUGUGGUUUCAUAGAGUCAUCUCCCCGAGCACUGGGAAACUACAGAUGAACACUUCCUGAACCAUCCCAGACAGUGACUGUGGGGAAAGGCGCUGUAUCAAGGUAAGAGUACAAACAGCAGCACACGUGAUUCAGCAGCUCCUGUACUGACUGCUAAACACUGAGUCAUAGAUGCUCAUACACAUGCACACACAUGCUGCAUGCUUUCUGCUUUGUUAGUUCCAUAGAAAUCUGAUUACAUGAAAUUUCCUGGGGACAGUGUCUGUCUGAUGUGUUUGCUUUGAAAUCAGGGAGAUAUGUUUCUGUAAGGUUUUCGUCAAGUGAAGACAGGCUGAAGUUAUGUAAGCGUCUGUAUCCUGUGAUCUGUGCACAUUUGUGUGUGCAUGAGCUGAGAGGCCUGCAGCUGCCUGACUUUCCUAAACAAGGCAUAAGAGUUAAAUUGAUAUGCAUAUUGUAAAAAUAAACAAAGAAAUUAAAAAUGAUACAUGACCUAGACACCCAGAGACUUUUGCAGAUUUGAUUCUGAAUACAAGUCUACAGUGUUGUAACUAUUGCAAUGAAUUAAACAAAUGGCAUGUUUAUUUUUGUGAAUGUGACUCAAAUAAAAACUUCAUAAUGACAUUUUUGUUUUGUUAUUAAAACGUUUGGUCUCAAUUCAGAUACUGAGUUUGUAAAUUUAUUUCAUCAGCUAUGCUACCCUUCAAAAAAAAGUAAGAUUUAAGAUUUUUUUAAGUUUUUUGAAAGAUGUCACUUAU